AGAUGAGUGAGAGUCUAGUGGAAGGGAUUAUUAAGCUUCCACUUGAAGAACCAAGAUCCAAAUCUCCAUUAGAAGAGACACUCUUGUUUAAGAACAAGAUUACAUCCCAAGAAAGAUAGGUGGAAAGAAAAGUACCCCUUUGGGGGGAAGAGACCAUUGGUGCAAGAAUCCAGAUUUGGCAGUGGUGGGGUCCAUACUCCAUAGCUUCCACACACUUAGUCCAGUGAUGCCAUCCAUCACAAUUCAUAAUUCAUAACAUUUCUUCUUCUCAUCUCUUUCUCUCUGACACACACAGACUCAAACCACAACCCCAACCUUUCUAAUUAUUCCACCAUGGCUGCAGCAUCAUCAACUCUAUUUUCCUUCUCCUUUCCCUUCGACCCUCAAAUCCAAACCCUCUCUUUCCCUCUCUCCUCCGCAAAACCUCGCUUCUCCCCGAAACCCUUCUCCACUUUUAAACUCACCUCUACCCAUUCCUCCUCCUCUUCCUCCCUCACUGUCUCCGACGAUCCCUUCAACACCGGCCGCUUCCUCUCCAACGACGAGCUUCGCCGCCUCCGCCUCCUGGAGACCUUCCUCUACCGCUGCGACCUCCCUUCCGGCGGCUCCCUCUCCGUCCGCGUCAUGCGCCCCCACGAGACCGACCCCACCGUCCUCCUCCUGGCCGCGUCCUUCGCCGAGUCCAUGCUCCUCCCCCAACCCUACGUCAAAUUCCUCGCCUUCCUCGUUAAGCAGUACCUCCUCGAUCGCAGGUCCCUCAUGCCCCACACCGCCACCCUCGUCGCAUUCUACACCCAAACAGCCGCCGCCGCUGCUGAUCAAGACCAAGAACAAGAACAAGAAGCGCGCUUAGCGGGGACGGUGGAGCUGAGUUUUGACAUUAGAGGUGCCAAUGCUACCGUCCCCUCGCCCACCCCUCCCAGAGAUAAGCCUUACAUUUGUAACAUGGCCGUCAGAAAGUCUCUGAGGAGCUCUUGUUGUCACCAACAUCAAGAAUCAUAUCUCCAUCACCCUGGAGAUGAAAAAUGUCCAAUAUGCAACGUGGCGGAACUGUUCAAGAUUCAUGUAUGUUUUCACAAGGUCUUCCAUCACAUCGUCCCACCAGAGAAAGACAAGGAGAAGGUGCCUAAAAUCGAUGAAGAAAAGGAGUUGUGGUCGACCCUUGAUGUUGUGGUCCAUCAAUGGAUCUAGGCAACAAUCUCACAUGACAUGUUGCAUACUACUCUUGAACCCGACGCAACGACAAUGGAGGCGUGGAAUAGGUUGCGUGAUAUAUUCCAAGACAAUAAAGAUUCUCGGGCUGUAAAUUCUCCUGUACCAACAUGGAGGAUUUCUCAAAUGCCUCUGCGUACUGUCAACGACUUAAGGAAUUGUUUGAUCAACUCAAGAACGUAGGCGCACUAGUGUCAAAUAACUGUCUUGUUUUUCAAAUGGUGGUCGGCCUCACCGAGGCUUACAAUGGGGAUGCCACACUCAUUCGUCAAAGUGAUCCUCUUUCACCGUUCUAUCAAGCUCGCUCUAUGCUCACCUUAGAAGAAGUUGGUCUUGCGAAGAAGGUUGCAAUCGACAGGGGUGCCGCCAUGGUGGCUCAUGACAUUGAUGACUCUCACUCCCUCUCCAAAAAUUCCUAUCAAAAUCGGAAUAUUCAUGGUGGUAAAAAGGGUCAAAACCGCAACAACAGUGGCAAAAACAAUGGAGGCAAUCGUGGUGGUGUCAAGAGCAGCAAUGGUGGUGGCCGUAAUAGUGAUUGGCAGUAGUAGUCCGACCAGCAGCAAUCGAGGCACCAGCAGUGGCCUAUAGGACAAUGACAGUGGCCAUGGAUGCCUUGGGCUCUUUCACCUUACCUAUACCCCUCAUCCAACGACCCACCCCCCACAUGACAUUCGAGCAAGGUAAUCUCUCAUAUUAUUUUAAUUUGUGCAAUAAUCGUGGUAUAAUUAUCGGUAAUGGCCAUUCAAUUCCAAUUCGUGGUUAUGGUCACACCAAUUUGUCUCCCCCGAAUCCACCCUUCGCCUUGAAAAAUAUCCUUCAUGCCCCUCAACUUAUUAAAAACUUAGUGUCGGUACGAAAGUUUACAACUGAUAAUUCAAUUGUUGUUGAAUUUGACCUUUUUGAUUUUUCUGUGAAGGAUUUCCUGAUGGGGGUACAUCUCAUGAGAUGUGAGAGUUGAGGCGGCCUUUAUCACAUCACCACAAAUCUAGCCACUUCAUCAACUACUUUUUCUGCUUUAGCACCAUUGUUAUGGCAUGCACGUUUGGGUCAUCUUGGAGCACCUGUUUUUGACUCCCUUAGGCUAAAUAAAUUUAUUGAGUGUAAUCAAACUCGUAGUUCUCAUGUUUGUCACUCUUGUUCUCUUGGGAAAAAUGUUAAGUUACCAUUUGUUUCUUCUCAUUCUUGUACUAUUAUGCCUUUUGAUAUUAUUCAUAGUGAUAUUUGAACAUCUCCCUUUUUGAGUUCUUCGGGCCAUCGAUAUUAUGUUUUGUUGUUGGAUGAUUACUCUAAUUUUUUGUUGACAUUUCCAUUGUCUAAGAAGUCUCAAGUUUUUUUUCACAUUUCUAUCUUUUAGAGCUUUCAUUCACACUCAGUUUGAACUGGAAGUAAAAAACAUUCUAUGUAAUAAUGGUAGGGAGUUUGAUAAUGGACCCUUUUAGGAAUUUUGUAAAGUAAAUGGGUUAGCUUUUUGUCUCUCUUGUCCACAUACAUCAUCACAAAAUGGGAAAACCAAAAGAAAAAUCUGUACCAUUAACAACAUUAUCCGUACUCUACUAGUCCAUGCAUCUUUACCACCUUCCUUUUGGCAUCAUGCUUUGCAAAUGACAACAUAUCUUCUCAAAAUUAUUACAAAUAAACAAUUAGCCUAUCAAUCACCUUUCAAGGUUCUUUAUCAAAAGGACCCUUCCUACUCUCAUCUUCGACUGUUUGAGUGUUUAUGCUAUCCACUUUUUCCCUCUACUACCAUAAACAAACUUCAAGCCCGUUCCACUCCUUGUGUCUUUUUGGGGUACCCAUCUAAUCAUCAUGGGUACAAGUGCUAUGAUUAGUCUUAUCGUAAAAUCAUACUAAGUCAUCAUGUCAUUUUUUAUGAAACUCAAUUCCCUUUUGCUAAGUUGCACAUUCCACAACCUCACACUUAUGAUUUUAUGAAUGACAGACCCUCCCCUUAUGUGGUCCACCAUUUGACCUCUCUGCAGGCCCAAACCAACCGACCUAGCAUGCCUUGCCUAACCCGCAACUUGCUGCCCAGCCUACACCUCUAUCCGGCCCACCCACACUUAGCCCACAAUCACAACAAAAGCAACCCUCACUCAACCCAGCACUUGCACCUUCACCUCCAUAUCAGCCCACUCAUUUUUCGGCUUUCAUACCCGUGACACGUAGUUAGCAUAGGAUUUUUAAACCCAAACGACAUUUAAAUCUCAACAAUAAUGUCACUAAAUCCCCCUUACCGCAUAAUCAUGUGUCUGCCCGUCGUGACCCGAAUUGGAAAAUGACUAUGGAUGAUGAAUUUAAUGCUCUUAUUAAAAAUAAGAUGUGGGAGUUGGUGCCCCAUCCACCUGAUGUUAAUGUGAUCCAGUCUAUGUGAAUUUUUACUCAUAAAAAAAAUCUGGUAUUUUUGAGAGGCAUAAGACCCGUCUUGUAGGGGAUGACAAAAUACAACAGGUUGGCGUGGAUUGCGGUGAAACUUUUAGCCUGAUAGUCAAACCGACAACUAUUCGCACUGUUCUCAGUUUAGCCAUCUCUAAAGCAGGCCCAUUCACCAACUUGACGUGAAGAAUGCUAUCUUGCAUGAAGAACUCAAAGAGACUGUGUACAUGCAUCAGCCCAUGGGUUUUAGGGACCCGAGUCAUCCUAAUCAUGUAUGCUUGUUGAAGAAAUCUCUAUAUGGCCUCAAACAGGCCCCUCAGGCUUGGUACAAGAGAUUUGCUUAUUAUGUUUCUACUCUUGGGUUUUCUCGUAGUACUUUUGAUCAUUCUCUCUUCAUUUAACGACAAGGUACAACUUUGGCUUACAUUCUUUUGUAUGCGGAUGAUAUUAUCUUGACAACUUCCUUUGAUGCUAUUCGCAAGUCUAUCAUAUCCCUUCUUAGCUCAAAAUUUGGUAUGAAGGACCUAGGGCCGUUGAGUUGUUUCUUGGGUAUAGUUGUAACUCAUCAUACAGGUGGUCUAUUCUUAUCUUAGCGGAAGUAUGCAGCAAAGAUCAUUGAACAGGUCGGCAUGUCAUCUUGUAAGCCAUCUCUUACUCCGGUUGACUCAAAACCAAAGCUCAAUGCUAAUUCCAGCACACCAUAUGCCCGAUCCAUCUCAUUAUCGAAGCCUUGCAGGGACUCUUCAAUAUUUCACCUUCACGAGACCUGAUAUUGCUUGUGAUGUGCAACAAGUGUGUUUAUUCAUGCAUGACCCGAGGGAAGAACACAUGCACGCUCUCAAGCGCAUUGUGUGCUACAUUCAGGGUACUUUUGAUCAUGGCUUGCAUCCCUAUCCAUCUUUCACAUCUACUCUUCUCUCUUAUACAGAUGCUGAUUGGGGUGGGUGUCUGGAUACCAGACGCUCUACAUUGGGUUAUUGUGUGUUUCUUGGUCCACCAAAUGGCAAGCUACGUUGUCACGAUCUAGUGCGGAGGCGGAAUAACGAGGUGUUGUCAAUGUGGUUUCUGAGUUUUGUUGGUUACGAAACCUUCUUCUAGAGCUUCAUUGUCCUAUUCGAAAAGCUACCUUGGUAUAUUGUGAUAAUGUUAGUGUGAUAUAUCUCUAUGAAAAUCCUGUUCAACAUUAGCGCACUAAACAUAUUGAGAGGGAUAUUCACUUUGUUCGCGAAAAGAUUGCUCAUGGGGAAGUUCGAGUCUUACAUGUCAUGUCACAUUAUCAGAUUGCAGGAGGGGCAUUGGCUGGCAUCUUCUAAGGGCAAGUGAGGAAUUAAUUUCUCAGAUGAGUUCCGCAAGAGAGGUUUACUUGCAUUGCA